rnacentral:rRNA from 1 species
UACGUAGGGUGCGAGCGUUGUCCGGAAUUAUUGGGCGUAAAGAGCUCGUAGGCGGUGUGUCGCGUCGGCCGUGAAAACCUGGGGCUCAACUCUGGGCGUGCGGUCGAUACGGGCAUCACUUGAGUUCGGCAGGGAGACUGGAAUUCCUGGUGUAGUCGGUGAAAUGCGCAGAUAUCAGGAGGAACACCGGUGGCGAAGGCGGGUCUCUGGGCCGAUACUGAC